rnacentral:rRNA from 1 species
AACGAACGCUGGCGGCAUGCCUAACACAUGCAAGUCGAACGAGACCUUCGGGUCUAGUGGCGCACGGGUGCGUAACGCGUGGGAACCUGCCCUUAGGUUCGGAAUAACUCCCCGAAAGGGGUGCUAAUACCGGAUAAUGUCUUCGGACCAAAGAUUUAUCGCCUUUGGAUGGGCCCGCGUUGGAUUAGCUAGUUGGUAGGGUAAAAGCCUACCAAGGCGACGAUCCAUAGCUGGUCUGAGAGGAUGAUCAGCCACACUGGGACUGAGACACGGCCCAGACGCAGAGCGGAGGCGAGCGGGGAGAAUAUUGGGAAAGGGGGGCAAGAGGGGUCGAGCGAUGGGGCUUGUGUGAAGAAGGCGUUGGUGUUUUAGUCUUCUUUAACGUGGGAUGAUAAUGACAUGAGCGGAAAAAGAACCCCCGGCGACCUCCGUGCCGGAGGCGGCGCUAAUAGGGGGACCAGCACAUGCAUGAAC